UAGAAUGUAGUCGGAAACAGUAAGACUAGUGGGAGAACUGGGAAGGGGGAGGGGAUGGAGAGAGAGAGAGAAAGCAAGGGCUAUCUGAAGUUAGAGAGGUCAAUGUUCAUAUAGCUGGGGUGUAAACGACCCAAGCAAAAUAUGAGGUGCUGCUCCUCCAGUUUGUGUUGGGCCUCA